rnacentral:rRNA from 1 species
UACGGAGGUGGCAAACGUUACUCGGAAUUAUUGGGUGUAAAGGGCAGGUAGGCGGCUUAAUAAGUGGGGGGUGAAAUACUUCGGCUCAAUCGGAGAACUGCCUUCCAAACUGUUAAGCUUGAGUAUGACAGAGGAAAAUGGAAUUCUUGGUGUAAGGGUGAAAUCUGUAGAUAUCAAGAAGAACACCAGCUGCGAAGGCGAUUUUCUGGGUCAUUACUGACGCUAAAUUGCGAAAGCUAGGGGAGCAAACAGA